GACGAACGCUGGCGGCGUGCUUAACACAUGCAAGUCGAGCGGAAAGGCUCCUUCGGGGGUACUCGAGCGGCGAACGGGUGAGUAACACGUGAGUAAUCUGCCCUUGGCUUCGGGAUAGCCACCGGAAACGGUGAUUAAUACCGGAUAUGACAGCUUCUCGCAUGAGUGGUUGUGGAAAGUUUUUCGGCCAGGGAUGUGCUCGCGGCCUAUCAGCUUGAUGGUGAGGUAAUGGCUCACCAUGGCUUCGACGGGUAGCCGGCCUGAGAGGGUGACCGGUCACACUGGGACUGAGACACGGCCCAGACUCCUACGGGAGGCAGCAGUGGGGAAUAUUGGACAAUGGGCGGAAGCCUGAUCCAGCAACGCCGCGUGAGGGAUGACGGCCUUCGGGUUGUAAACCUCUUUCGGUAGGGACGAAGCGCAAGUGACGGUACCUACUAAAGAAGCACCGGCCAACUUCGUGCCAGCCGCCGCGGUAACAC
rnacentral:rRNA from 1 species